ensembl:snRNA U6 U6 spliceosomal RNA
GUUUUUACUUCAGCAGCACACUCAAUAAUGUUGGAAUGCUACACAGAAGCUUAGCAUGGCCAUUCUGUAGGGGUGACAUGCUAAUUUCUAUACAUAUAUUUUUUAUUU